CGGACGGGUGAGUAAUGUAUGGGGAUCUGCCCGAUGGAGGGGGAUAACUACUGGAAACGGUAGCUAAUACCGCAUAACGUCGCAAGGCCAAAGAGGGGGACCUUCGGGCCUCUUGCCAUCGGAUGUGCCCAGAUGGGAUUAGCUAGUAGGUGGGGUAACGGCUCACCUAGGCGACGAUCCCUAGCUGGUCUGAGAGGAUGAUCAGCCACACUGGGACUGAGACACGGCCCAG
rnacentral:rRNA from 1 species